rnacentral:rRNA from 1 species
GACGAACGCUGGCGGCGUGCCUAAUACAUGCAAGUUGAGCGCUGAAGGUUGGUACUUGUACCAACUGGAUGAGCAGCGAACGGGUGAGUAACGCGUGGGGAAUCUGCCUUUGAGCGGGGGACAACAUUUGGAAACGAAUGCUAAUACCGCAUAAAAACUUUAAACACAAGUUUUAAGUUUGAAAGAUGCAAUUGCAUCACUCAAAGAUGAUCCCGCGUUGUAUUAGCUAGUUGGUGAGGUAAAGGCUCACCAAGGCGAUGAUACAUAGCCGACCUGAGAGGGUGAUCGGCCACAUUGGGACUGAGACACGGCCCAAACUCCUACGGGAGGCAGCAGUAGGGAAUCUUCGGCAAUGGACGAAAGUCUGACCGAGCAACGCCGCGUGAGUGAAGAAGGUCUUCGGAUCGUAAAACUCUGUUGGUAGAGAAGAACGUUGGUGAGAGUGGAAAGCUCAUCAAGUGACGGUAACUACCCAGAAAGGGACGGCUAACUACGUG